rnacentral:rRNA from 1 species
GACGAACGCUGGCGGCGUGCUUAACACAUGCAAGCCGAACGGUGAAGCAGGAGCUUGCUCCUGUGGAUCAGUGGCGAACGGGUGAGUAACACGUGAGCAAUCUGCCCUGGACUCCGGGAUAAGCGUUGGAAACGACGUCUAAUACCGGAUACGAGGCGUGGGGGCAUCCCCAACGCCUGGAAAGAACUUCGGUCCAGGAUGAGCUCGCGGCCUAUCAGGUAGUUGGUGAGGUAACGGCUCACCAAGCCUACGACGGGUAGCCGGCCUGAGAGGGUGACCGGCCACACUGGGACUGAGACACGGCCCAGACUCCUACGGGAGGCAGCAGUGGGGAAUAUUGCACAAUGGGCGCAAGCCUGAUGCAGCAACGCCGCGUGAGGGACGACGGCCUUCGGGUUGUAAACCUCUUUUAGCAGGGAAGAAGCGAAAGUGACGGUACCUGCAGAAAAAGCACCGGCUAACUACGUGCCAGCCGCCGCCGUAAAAC